AGAGUUUGAUCAUGGCUCAGGAUGAACGCUAGCGACAGGCUUAACACAUGCAAGUCGAGGGGCAGCAUGAUUUGUAGCAAUACAGAUUGAUGGCGACCGGCGCACGGGUGAGUAACGCGUAUGCAACUUACCUAUCAGAGGGGGAUAGCCCGGCGAAAGUCGGAUUAAUACCCCAUAAAACAGGGGUCCCGCAUGGGAAUAUUUGUUAAAGAUUCAUCGCUGAUAGAUAGGCAUGCGUUCCAUUAGGCAGUUGGCGGGGUAACGGCCCACCAAACCGACGAUGGAUAGGGGUUCUGAGAGGAAGGUCCCCCACAUUGGUACUGAGACACGGACCAAACUCCUACGGGAGGCAGCAGUGAGGAAUAUUGGUCAAUGGCCGAGAGGCUGAACCAGCCAAGUCGCGUGAAGGAAGAAGGAUCUAUGGUUUGUAAACUUCUUUUAUAGGGGAAUAAAGUGGAGGACGUGUCCUUUUUUGUAUGUACCCUAUGAAUAAGCAUCGGCUAACUCCGUGCCAGCAGCCGCGGUAAUACGGAGGAUGCGAGCGUUAUCCGGAUUUAUUGGGUUUAAAGGGUGCGUAGGUGGUGAUUUAAGUCAGCGGUGAAAGUUUGUGGCUCAACCAUAAAAUUGCCGUUGAAACUGGGUUACUUGAGUGUGUUUGAGGUAGGCGGAAUGCGUGGUGUAGCGGUGAAAUGCAUAGAUAUCACGCAGAACUCCGAUUGCGAAGGCAGCUUACUAAACCAUAACUGACACUGAAGCACGAAAGUGUGGGGAUCAAACAGGAUUAGAUACCCUGGUAGUCCACGCAGUAAACGAUGAUUACUAGGAGUUUGCGAUACAAUGUAAGCUCUACAGCGAAAGCGUUAAGUAAUCCACCUGGGGAGUACGCCGGCAACGGUGAAACUCAAAGGAAUUGACGGGGGCCCGCACAAGCGGAGGAACAUGUGGUUUAAUUCGAUGAUACGCGAGGAACCUUACCCGGGUUUGAACGUAGUCUGACCGGAGUGGAAACACUCUUUCUAGCAAUAGCAGAUUACGAGGUGCUGCAUGGUUGUCGUCAGCUCGUGCCGUGAGGUGUCGGCUUAAGUGCCAUAACGAGCGCAACCCUUAUCACUAGUUACUAACAGGUGAAGCUGAGGACUCUGGUGAGACUGCCAGCGUAAGCUGUGAGGAAGGUGGGGAUGACGUCAAAUCAGCACGGCCCUUACAUCCGGGGCGACACACGUGUUACAAUGGCAUGGACAAAGGGCAGCUACCUGGUGACAGGAUGCUAAUCUCCAAACCAUGUCUCAGUUCGGAUCGGAGUCUGCAACUCGACUCCGUGAAGCUGGAUUCGCUAGUAAUCGCGCAUCAGCCAUGGCGCGGUGAAUACGUUCCCGGGCCUUGUACACACCGCCCGUCAAGCCAUGGGAGCCGGGGGUACCUGAAGUCCGUAACCGCAAGGAUCGGCCUAGGGUAAAACUGGUGACUGGGCUAAGUCGUAACAAGGUA
rnacentral:rRNA from 1 species